UAGCUAGUUGGUGAGGUAACGGCCCACCAAGGCGACGAUCGGUAGCCGGACUGAGAGGUUGAACGGCCACAUUGGGACUGAGACACGGCCCAGACUCCUACGGGAGGCAGCAGUGGGGAAUAUUGCACAAUGGGGGAAACCCUGAUGCAGCGACGCCGCGUGGAGGAAGAAGGUCUUCGGAUUGUAAACUCCUGUUGUUGAGGAAGAUAAUGACGGUACUCAACAAGGAAGUGACGGCUAACUACGUGCCAGCAGCCGCGGUAAAACGUAGGUCACAAGCGUUGUCCGGAAUUACUGGGUGUAAAGGGAGCGCAGGCGGGAAGACAAGUUGGAAGUGAAAUCUAUGGGCUCAACCCAUAAACUGCUUUCAAAACUGUUUUUCUUGAGUAGUGCAGAGGUAGGCGGAAUUCCCGGUGUAGCGGUGGAAUGCGAAGAUAUCGGGAGGAACACCAGUGGCGAAGGCGGCCUACUGGGCACCAACUGACGCUGAGGCUCGAAAGUGUGGGUAGCAAACAGGAUUAGAUACCCUGGUAGUCCACACCGUAAACGAUGAUUACUAGGUGUUGGAGGAUUGACCCCUUCAGUGCCGCAGUUAACACAAUAAGUAAUCCACCUGGGGAGUACGACCGCAAGGUUGAAACUCAAAGGAAUAGACGGGGGCCCGCACAAGCAGUGGAGUAUGUGGUUUAAUUCGACGCAACGCGAAGAACCUUACCAAGUCUUGACAUCCUGCGACGAUGCUGGAAACAGUAUUUUCCUUCGGGACGCAGAGACAGGUGGUGCAUGGUUGUCGUCAGCUCGUGUCGUGAGAUGUUGGGUUAAGUCCCGCAACGAGCGCAACCCUUACUGUCAGUUACUACGCAAGAGGACUCUGGCAGGACUGCCGUUGACAAAACGGAGGAAGGUGGGGAUGACGUCAAAUCAUCAUGCCCUUUAUGACUUGGGCUACACACGUACUACAAUGGCGUUAAACAAAGAGAAGCAAGACCGCGAGGUGGAGCAAAACUCAGAAACAACGUCCCAGUUCGGACUGCAGGCUGCAACUCGCCUGCACGAAGUCGGAAUUGCUAGUAAUCGUGGAUCAGCAUGCCACGGUGAAUACGUUCCCGGGCCUUGUACACACCGCCCGUCACACCAUGAGAGCCGGGGGGACCCGAAGUCGGUAGUCUAACCGCAAGGAGGACGCCGCCGAAGGUAAAACUGGUGAUUGGGGUGAAGUCGUAACAAGGUAGCCGUAGGAGACCUGCGGCUG
rnacentral:rRNA from 1 species